UACAGAGGGUGCGAGCGUUGUCCGGAAUCACUGGGCGUAAAGCGUCUGUAGGUGGUUCGAAAAGUCCACUGUUAAAAAUUGAGGCUUAACUUCAAAGAUGCCGUGGAAACUUUCAAACUAGAGUAUGGUAGGGGUAGAGGGAAUUUCCAGUGGAGCGGUGAAAUGCGUAGAUAUUGGAAAGACCACCGAUGGCGAAGGCACUCUACUGGGCCACUACUGACACUGAGAGACGAAAGCUAGGGGAGCAAAUGGG
rnacentral:rRNA from 1 species